rnacentral:rRNA from 1 species
GUGGGGAAUAUUGGGCAAUGGGCGCAAGCCUGACCCAGCAACGCCGCGUGAAGGAAGAAGGCUUUCGGGUUGUAAACUUCUUUGACAGGGGACGAAACAAAUGACGGUACCCUGAAAACAAGCCACGGCUAACUACGUGCCAGCAGCCGCGGUAAUACGUAGGUGGCAAGCGUUAUCCGGAUUUACUGGGUGUAAAGGGCGUGUAGGCGGGAUUACAAGUCAGAUGUGAAAACUAUGGGCUCAACCCAUAGCCUGCAUUUGAAACUGUAGUUCUUGAGUGAUGGAGAGGCAGACGGAAUUCCUCGUGUAGCGGUGAAAUGCGUAGAUAUGAGGAGGAACACCAGUGGCGAAGGCGGUCUGCUGGACAUUAACUGACGCUGAGGCGCGAAAGCGUGGGGAGCAAACAGGAUUAGAAACCCUUGUAGUCC